rnacentral:rRNA from 1 species
UAACACAUGCAAGUCGAACGAAGUAGCAAUACUUAGUGGCAGACGGGUGAGGUAACAUGUGGGUAUCUACCCUUUGGCCUGGAAUAACACGAGGAAACUUGUGCUAAUACCGGAUAAGCUUUUACGGAGAAAAGCUUUAUGCACCAUUGGAUGAGCCCGCACUUGAUUAGUUUGUUGGUAGGGUAAUGGCCUACCAAGACUAUGAUCAAUAGCUGAUUUGAGAGGAUGAUCAGCCACAGUUGGGACUGAGACACCGGCCCAAACUCC